UGCAGGAAGACUGCCCUAUGGGUUGUAAACUGCUUUUAUACGGGAAGAAACCGCUCUACGUGUAGAGUCUUGACGGUACCGUAAGAAUAAGGAUCGGCUAACUCCGUGCCAGCAGC
rnacentral:rRNA from 1 species